CUUCUACAAGGAGGUUCAGGGAGGAGCCAGCAUCUGGUGACAGGUUUUUCACAGGCUGUAAUUAGUAUUUGAAACAGAUAUUUUGCAUUGUCAGGCAGGGAUUCUGUGUCACCUAGAAUAAAGAUAGCAAAUUUAAAAGGUAUUCUUAUAUUCUAGAUAUUUUCAAUAGUUUUGUGUAUUUCUAUCCAACAGUGUCUUAUAAUUGUACAGUCCCAGAAUAUAUGCCAGUGGUUUGGUUCUGUGUUUCCACAUUGCCUCCAGCAUUUAGGCUCUGCCCUGGUACAAUAAAUUUUCUGUUUUGGUGUUAUAAAAAAUCUAAUCAGGCAUGUCCAGUUAAAUUCUCUCCAUGAGUACGAAUCGGUACAUCUCCAAACUGUCACAAAUUAACUGUUCCAUUCUUCUGUGAUUUCCAUUUUACUUUCAUUUUCCUAUUUUGUUUUCACAUAUGAAGUUGAAUAUGUUUUUUUACUCAUAAAUCCCUUGUAUAACCGUAAUACCUUUUUUUAGAUUUUGCCUGAUAUUCAACUAAUGGUCAUUUUAACAGUUCAAUGACUGCAAUCAAACAAAAAUAACAGGCACAGGUCUGGCUACUUUGGAGGAAAAACAUAAAGAGCAAGUUUUCUGGGGGAAACCUUGAACCUUGUUUUCAAUGUUGAUUGCUAUGGCAUUUUAAAAAACACAUAUGUUUUAUUCCUCAUAUUCCUAAAUAUGAGGAAAUAUAAUGAGAUUUUGUGUAAUUUAGUUAUGCCACAUAUUUAAAGUGUGCAUAAUAUGAAAAUUUAUUCCACCUCUAUUUUGUGAUGAAGGAUGUAAUGUUCAGUUUUGGCUGUGUUUGGAUGAAGUGCAUGUCCUGACUUCACAAUUUUUAUCAUUUUCACUUGUUUCAGGUUUAGGUAACUCAUUUUGAGUUAAAACAUAAUAGCCUGAGGGCCACAUGUGUUCAGAUAAGGAUUAGCUCAAUUGGAAAUCAGGUCAGGCUACUGACCGUACAGCAGUUUCUCACAGGGCUGACGGGCGUCUACAUAGUACCCAGGAUUAAGUAAUAUCAGUGGGUAGUGGUGCUGGGGAAAAACAAUUUCCGUUUAAUUAUUGUCUAAAAAAUUACUAUAAUGACAAUAAAGAUUGCCUUUAUAAUGCAAUAUGACAGACAUAGGGUAUGCCAUUGUGACAAUAAUAUGACAUAUCAGACUAUAUUUGGAAGCACUAAUUAACUAUUUGGAGCAACCAGUAGAUCAGUUUUACAAGUCAAAGAAGCAGCACCCAGUGUUCUAAAUGCUGUUUGAAUUAUUUUAUACUAAAGUUGAAUAAUACUUUUGUAGUCUUACUAAAAUGAAUUCAAUAUGAAUGGCACUAUUAAGAUUUUUUUCUUCUUGUUUCCUCAUGUCUGGUAAAGGAAAUUUAUGUAUUUAGUUUAUAGUUUUUAAAAAUAUAUCUUGAUAGUUAUAGAUUAUUUUAAAUGGGUCCUUCACUUUUGUAAUCUGAAUUGUUCAUCUAUCUGAAUUGUCUAUCUAUUAUGAUAAUCAUUGAAAUUGUUCAUGAAGCAUCUAAAAAAAUCCAUGGCAGCCUGGUUUUGCUGGUGCUCCUUUUUUGUAUGCUUAGUGCCCAUUUUAUAAGAAAGUGAAUUUGAAGUGUUAUUUACUUAAGGUUGAUUAUGUAAUCUGAUAUUUAAUACAGGCAAGAUAUCUACUUGAUAAGUUUCCCACACAACUCCAUCUCAAAAACCAUCCACAUAGUGCAUAAAUAAAAUCAAAUUUUCAUGUUGCUAGUAAUAGCAACUUAGCAACUUAUUGUAAAAUAAGUAUAAAAUUAAGUCUUUGAAAGCAAUAUUUAGUCACAAGACAAGUCUUAUCUGUUAUGUGACUACAAUUAAACACCAAAAAUUGUUAAUCUUUUUUAUUUUACCAACAUUUUCUUUUCUAACAGGGAGACCUGAGUCUAAUGUAGAAUCUGUGAAGGGACCUAAAGACUGAAGUGAUGGCAGGGAGGUCUUCCAACCUGCAAGUUGGAGCUCAUCACCAAAAAUCUGUUUCUAGAGUAAACGGUAAAAAUGCCAGUCCACCAGGGGUAUGAAUAAAUUAGGGUUAACCUGUCCAAAGAAAACUUUGAAUAAUUUGAAUCAGGGUGUAGACUUUGACUUUCUGAAAAAAACAAAGGGUUUUCCCACAUUAAUUUGAAAUUUAAUUUAAAACCUUUUCAUGCAUCAGAAAUAUUCUCCACCACAUUUUGACCCUUUAUACUUGGAAAAUGUGAACAAUUAUUAUUAUAAUUAUUAUUAUUAUUAUUAUUUGACAUCUUUGCAGUGUCCUGGUUUUUCUGCUGAAUCAGUAAGUCAGACACCGGAACACACUAUGAGGAAACCUUGGUUCCUCUUGUGGUUUGAACUGAAGACAAGUAAACACAGGUGUGAUAUCAGGCUUUG